rnacentral:rRNA from 1 species
GAGCAUGUGGUUUAAUUCGAUGCAACGCGAAGAACCUUACCAAGGCUUGACAUGAACUGGAAAUACCUGGAAACAGGUGCCCCGCUUGCGGUCGGUUUACAGGUGGUGCAUGGUUGUCGUCAGCUCGUGUCGUGAGAUGUUGGGUUAAGUCCCGCAACGAGCGCAACCCUCGUUCUAUGUUGCCAGCACGUUAUGGUGGGGACUCAUAGGAGACUGCCGGGGUCAACUCGGAGGAAGGUGAGGACGACGUCAAAUCAUCAUGCCCCUUAUGUCUUGGGCUUCACGCAUGCUACAAUGGCCGGUACAAUGGGUUGCGAUACUGUGAGGUGGAGCUAAUCCCAAAAAGCCGGUCUCAGUUCGGAUUGGGGUCUGCAACUCGACCCCNGAAGUCGGAGUC